GGCCUUCUGGUUCUUACCGCAGGCUGUGUUCUUAUAUCUCCUGUACAGAAAGAGAGGCAGAGUAAACCCACCCCAUAUACACCGCAGCUCAGGCCCUUUGCCUGGUCUGUAUUGUGAAUAGGGGAACAUGG